AACGAACGCUGGCGGCGCGUCUUAAGCAUGCAAGUCGGACGGCAAGGGGGAACUUGUUCCCCCCUAGAGUGGCGGACUGGUGAGUAACGCGUGGGUGACCUGCCCUGUGGUUGGGGAUAGCCGUUAGAAAUAGCGGGUAAUACCGAAUACGACCCUGUUGCUAUGGCGAUAGGGGGAAAGGAGCUACGGCUCCGCCAGAGGAUGGGCCCGCGUCCCAUUAGCUAGUUGGAGAGGUAAAGGCUCACCAAGGCAGUGAUGGGUAGCCGGCCUGAGAGGGUGAUCGGCCACAUUGGGACUGAGAUACGGCCCAAACUCCUACGGGAGGCAGCAGCUAAGAAUAUUCCGCAAUGGACGAAAGUCUGACGGAGCGACGCCGCGUGGAUGAGGAAGGCCGAAAGGUUGUAAAAUCCUUUUAUUGCUGAAGAAUAAGCAUGGGAGGGAAUGCCCGUGUGAUGACGUUAGGCAAUGAAUAAGCCCCGGCUAAUUACGUGCCAGCAGCCGCGGUAACACGUAAGGGGCAAGCGUUGUUCGGAAUUAUUGGGCGUAAAGGGCGUGUAGGCGGUUAUGUAAGUCUGGCGUGAAAGGCGGGAGCUUAACUCCUGGACUGCGUUGGAAACUGCAUAACUAGAGUCAUGGAGGGGGAGUUGGAAUUCCUAGUGUAGGGGUGAAAUCUGUAGAUAUUAGGAAGAACACCGGUGGCGAAGGCGAACUUCCAGCCGAUGACUGACGCUGAGGCGCGAAAGUGCGG
rnacentral:rRNA from 1 species